rnacentral:rRNA from 1 species
AUGUGUGUACCUAAAAAUCAAGGAGGAAUGAGAUUCCAUGAUAUUCACUCUUUCAACCUAGCAUUGCUCGCCAAACAGGCGUGGCGUCUUUUGGAUAAUCCUGAUUCCUUGUGUGCUUCUAUCCUAAGGGCUAAGUACUACCCCGAUGGUGAUUUGUUGAACUCCAAGCUAAGGAAGGGAUCAUUUUUACUUGGCAAAGCAUUAUGGCAGGCACAAAUUCCCUGA